rnacentral:rRNA from 1 species
ACUAACAACUUUAGCUAAAUUUACACAUGCAAGUAUCCGCACCCCUGUGAGAAUGCCCUACAGUCCCCCGCCCGGGAACAAGGAGCUGGUAUCAGGCACACUUUAGCCCAAGACACCUUGCUUAGCCACACCCUCAAGGGAAUUCAGCAGUGAUAAACAUUAAGCCAUAAGUGAAAACUUGACUUAGUUAAAGCUAGGGCCGGUAAAACUCGUGCCAGCCACCGCGGUUAUACGAGAGACCCGAGUUGUUAAUUAUCGGCGUAAAGCGUGGUUAAAAAUAAAUUUGUCAUUAAAGCCGAACACCUUCAAAGCUGUUAUACGCAUCCGAAAGUAAGAAGACCAAUAACGAAAGUAGCUUUAUCCAUUUGAACCCACGAAAGCUAUGGCACAAACUGGGAUUAGAUACCCCACUAUGCCUAGCCGUAAACAUUGACAGUAAACUCCCACUGUCCGCCCGGGUACUACGAGCAUUAGCUUAAAACCCAAAGGACUUGGCGGUGCUUUAGAUCCACCUAGAGGAGCCUGUUCUAGAACCGAUAACCCCCGUUUAACCUCACCCUUCCUUGUUUUUCCCGCCUAUAUACCACCGUCGUCAGCUUACCCUGUGAAGGCCUCAUAGUAAGCAAAAUUGGCAUAGCCCAAAACGUCAGGUCGAGGUGUAGCGUAUGGAAGGGGAAGAAAUGGGCUACAUUCACUUACCAGUGAAAUACGAACGAUGUAUUGAAAUAUACAUCUAAAGGAGGAUUUAGCAGUAAGUAGAAA